GGCUGGAGUGCAGUGGCAUGAUCGUAGCUCACUGCAGCCUCAAACUCCUGAGAUCAAGCGAUCCUCCUGCCUCAGCCUCUCCAAUAGCUGGGACUACAGGCCCACACCACCAUGCCUGGCUUACAACUAACUUUUAAAUGUUGGCCAGGCGCAGUGGCUCACGCCUGAAAUCCAAGCACUUUGGGAGGCCGAGGCAGGCGGAUCACUUGAGGUCAGGAGUUCAAGACCAGCCUCGCCAACAUGAUGAAACCUCGUCUCUACAAAAAAUACAAAAAAUUAGCUGGGCAUGGUGGCAGGUGCCUGUAAUUCCAGCUACUCA
rnacentral:lncRNA from 10 species